UACGGGGGGGGCAAGCGUUGUUCGGAAUUACUGGGCGUAAAGGGCUCGUAGGCGGCCAACUAAGUCAGACGUGAAAUCCCUCGGCUUAACCGGGGAACUGCGUCUGAUACUGGAUGGCUUGAGUUUGGGAGAGGGAUGCGGAAUUCCAGGUGUAGCGGUGAAAUGCGUAGAUAUCUGGAGGAACACCGGUGGCGAAGGCGACAUCCUGGACCGGUAUUGACGCUGAGGCGCGAAAGCAUGGGGAGCGAACAGG
rnacentral:rRNA from 1 species